AGCAGCCUCUUUAUUUAUUUUGCUUUAAAAAAAAUUUAUGGAAAGGGCAAGGAAAACAGCAAAUACAGCUCACUUCCCGACCCACCACCAAACCAUCAUCAUUUAUUUAUUUGAUCAAAACCCUAGGCCGUUAUUAGUAUUUAACCCUUGGCUACCACCCUCUUCUUUUUAUUAUUGAAGGUAACCCAAGGCCUCGGUAGGUAGGGUUGUUCACUCUUGGGGGUCUCCUUGGUUCACACCAGGAGCGUCUCCGAGGCUUCAAGUUUUGGGUUUUAAGAUCUACUUAGCACUCAGACCAUCUUGUAGGUGAAGUCGGGUUAAAAGCGUUGCUGAGACGGCAGAUGUUUACACAGGAUAAAGCAAGUGAAAGCCAAAACGAGAUGUCAGAAAGUAAAUCUGGUGGUCAUUUUCUUAGAUUCUGCUGCUGCUGCUGCGCUGCUUUCAAAAUUCACAAGAGGGGUUUUCCUAUUGAUUGUAAUUUUUUAAUGUAAUAAUAAAAUAAAAGACAUGCUUUAUUGAACCUUUUCAUUUUCUAUUAAAUCUUGAAUAUAUCAUGUCUUCUUUUUUGUUAUAAAUAA